GCCGUUGUGGCGGAAUUGGCAGACGCGCAGCGUUCAGGUCGCUGUUCGAGUUUCUCGAGUAUGGGUUCGAAUCCCACCAACGGCACUA
rnacentral:tRNA from 2 species